CAGACAACUGAUCGAGGUACCAAAGUAUUAAGAAUGUGAAGAUCAUCUGACAUAUUUUCUUUACCAAUAAUCUGAUUCAUCAUAAGAUAUUGAAGAACACAGUGAUCAGGAAAAAAUAUAAUACAACAAUUCAAAUCUUUAGUAAACUUACUCAUAAAAAUCAUAUUGAAGUCAAAUUUAGGUAGACUUAAUACAGAUGACAGAGUAAUAGAUACUGUUGGUUUUGUGGUCCCCGAACCCACAAUAUUAUAUGUUGACCCAUCAGUAAUAGUUAUAGAAAUAAGUACUUUGUGUUGUCGAAAACUAAAAAAAAUAUUAAGUUUAUCUAUCAUGUGAUUUGUAGCAUCAGAAUCAAUCACUCAUCUAUUUGAGGAGGAGAUAAGACAAUUUUUUUUUAAUUCAAUAAGAGUAGAAAAUUUAUUCAAAAAUUCCUGAUAUUGAGUGAAUUUAGUAUACUCAUCAGCUGAAAUUAUAACAGUUCUCUUAGUAAAUGAACUAGUAGUAGCAACAACAAUAUUAGCAGUUUAUGUCCUUUAAUUGUAAUUCUGUAAUUUCUUACAGUAUCGCUUUAUAUGUUUUUGUUCAUGGCAGUAUAGCAAACAAUAUUAUCAUUGAUUUCAAUUCAGGAAUUACAAAAAAAUAUCACUUAGAAUACCCAAAUCACAACAGUCAGAUAUACCUGAAAAAUACUACAAACAUACCAGAAAAUCUGAGAAAAUAGAGGACCUCUUCAUGCAUGGGUAUCAACAAUGUUACUAGGACCUCAUUGCCAACCAUCGGAGUCCACGCGCCACUACCGUUGCUGCUAGAGUUACACACGCCGCUGCCUAAAACCAUCAAACAGUCUCCUUUCAGCCGGAAAUCAUCACAGAACUUCAAUGCCAGGCCUAAUCCGGAAUGGCGCUCGCAGAAACACCCCAAAUCGCGUCAGAGAGCGAAGAAUUGCUUGUUGUCUCGCGAUUUGCUCCGCCGUGCCUUUUCCCUCUUCGGCCUUCUGGUUUCGUGUAUAGAAUUGGCCGACCUAACUCCUCUGUUGCCUCUAUCCUCGAAUGGGAGCCCAAACGCACAAGAAUGCUCUCCUUCGGCUAUCCCGCCGCAUGCAGCCUCAAACCGUCGACAAACUGCUUCCUCUGCUUCUCCCGCGUGCACCACUGUGCUGGCUGCACUUUGAACUAGCCGGAGAUUGGUGGUUGUCUUCCUCCGGUGCGAUUUGACUCCUAAAAUCUCAACUCUAAUCUUAACUCUGAUAUCAUGUAAAGGAUUAAAAAAGAAAAAUAGUGAAUAAUUCUUGUGUUAUUAUUAAAAUGAGAAACAUGGAUAUGUAUACAUAUAGACGGAUUUAUAUAUGGUAAUCAAUAUAAAUUAUUCUAAUUAUUUUCUUUUUAAUUACGCUUAAAUAGUUAAAAAGAUAAUUAUAUUAUUAUGUAUAGAGAAUAUUUUAUAAUAUUUUAACACCUGAUAUUCCUAAUCCAUCACCAUAUAUGAGCAAUAUUAUCACUUCACUUUCAUUUGGAAAAAGGAUUCUGAUUGCUUUGUGCAUCCCCUUUGAAAGUAGAUUGAUGAAACCAAACUUUCAGGGACGGACCAAAACCACUCUAAGUUUCAAUGCUUAACAUUAGAGGCUAUUAGUGUACCACUUAAGAGAAGCAUCCUUAAACACCCAUGAGAUAAAUCCUGUGAAUGAACUGUGCUAGUGGUCAGAGUUCAUCUUGGAGCAGUAUCUUUCUUUUUUUUUAAAAAAAGAAAAAAAAAAGAAUAGAGGCAGUACCUUACUCUGCAUGAGCUUCAUCAAAUUGUCUUCUUUUUGCC
rnacentral:lncRNA from 1 species